rnacentral:rRNA from 1 species
UACGUAGGGUGCUAGCGUUGUUCGGAAUCAUUGGGCGUAAAGCGCGUGUAGGUGGUCAUCUAAGUCGAGUGUGAAAGCCCCAGGCUCAACCUGGGAAGUGCAUUCGAAACUAGUUGACUAGAAGACAGUAGAGGAAAGUGGAAUUCCAAGUGUAGAGGUGAAAUUCGUAGAUAUUUGGAGGAAUACCGGCGGCGAAGGCGGCUUUCUGGGCUGUUCUUGACACUGAGACGCGAAAGCGUGGGUAGCAAACAGG